UCCCCCGUGAGGGGGCAGUCUCGCCUGACAUGUAUAACAGGCAACGAGGGUUGCGUUCGUUACCCCACUGAAGGGAACAACUCAAGCCACGAACUGACGACGACCAUGCAUCACCUGCGGAGCCGUCUUGCGAAAGCCUAGUUUCCUAGGCGGUCGUCUCCGUUUCAAACCCUGGUGAGGUUCUUCGUUUGUCAUCGAAUUGAGCCGCAUGAUCCACCGCUUGUGCAAGUCCCCGUCUAUUCCUUUGAGUUUUAGCCUUGCGGCCGUACUACCCAGGCGGAUAACUUAACGCGUUUGCUUCGCCUCAAAGAGGGUCGAUACUCCUUAAAGCCAGUUAUCAUCGUUUAGGGCGUGGACUA
rnacentral:misc_RNA from 1 species